UCGAGCGGAACGAAGAUAGCUUGCUAUCAGGCGUCGAGCGGCGGACGGGUGAGUAAUGCUUAGGAAUCUGCCCAGUAGUGGGGGAUAGCCCGGGGAAACUCGGAUUAAUACCGCAUACGCCCUUUUGGGGAAAGCAGGGGAUCUUCGGACCUUGCGCUAUUGGAUGAGCCUAAGUCGGAUUAGCUAGUUGGUGGGGUAAAGGCCCACCAAGGCGACGAUCCGUAGCUGGUCUGAGAGGAUGAUCAGCCACAUCGGGACUGAGACACGGCCCGAACUCCUACGGGAGGCAGCAGUGGGGAAUAUUGGACAAUGGGCGCAAGCCUGAUCCAGCCAUGCCGCGUGUGUGAAGAAGGCUUUCGGGUUGUAAAGCACUUUCAGUGAGGAGGAAGGCUUUCAGAUUAAUACUCUGGAGGAUUGACGUCACUCACAGAAGAAGCACCGGCUAACUCCGUGCCAGCAGCCGCGGUAAUACGGAGGGUGCAAGCGUUAAUCGGAAUUACUGGGCGUAAAGCGCGCGUAGGUGGUUGAGUAAGCGAGAUGUGAAAGCCCCGGGCUUAACCUGGGAACGGCAUUUCGAACUGCUCGGCUAGAGUGUGGUAGAGG
rnacentral:rRNA from 1 species